UUUCUUUCGUUUAUCAACUUGGUUUGUUCAACAACUUUUUGUUUAAAUGCAAAAGGGUGAUACAAAAUGAAUUGUAAAAAGACGAGUGCACAGGGUGUAAAGAUAGUGGACCGGGCCUUCUCUUUGCAGAGGGACUCCCGUUAAAUUCACUAAUGAUCCUUCCGCAGGUUCACCUACGAAAA
rnacentral:misc_RNA from 1 species